CGGGGGGGGUGCCUAUACAUGCAAGUCGAGCGGACAGAUGGGAGCUUGCUCCCUGAUGUUAGCGGCGGACGGGUGAGUAACACGUGGGUAACCUGCCUGUAAGACUGGGAUAACUCCGGGAAACCGGGGCUAAUACCGGAUGGUUGUCUGAACCGCAUGGUUCAGACAUAAAAGGUGGCUUCGGCUACCACUUACAGAUGGACCCGCGGCGCAUUAGCUAGUUGGUGAGGUAACGGCUCACCAAGGCGACGAUGCGUAGCCGACCUGAGAGGGUGAUCGGCCACACUGGGACUGAGACACGGCCCAGACUCCUACGGGAGGCAGCAGUAGGGAAUCUUCCGCAAUGGACGAAAGUCUGACGGAGCAACGCCGCGUGAGUGAUGAAGGUUUUCGGAUCGUAAAGCUCUGUUGUUAGGGAAGAACAAGUGCCGUUCAAAUAGGGCGGCACCUUGACGGUACCUAACCAGAAAGCCACGGCUAACUACGUGCCAGCAGCCGCGGUAAUACGUAGGUGGCAAGCGUUGUCCGGAAUUAUUGGGCGUAAAGGGCUCGCAGGCGGUUUCUUAAGUCUGAUGUGAAAGCCCCCGGCUCAACCGGGGAGGGUCAUUGGAAACUGGGGAACUUGAGUGCAGAAGAGGAGAGUGGAAUUCCACGUGUAGCGGUGAAAUGCGUAGAGAUGUGGAGGAACACCAGUGGCGAAGGCGACUCUCUGGUCUGUAACUGACGCUGAGGAGCGAAAGCGUGGGGAGCGAACAGGAUUAGAUACCCUGGUAGUCCACGCCGUAAACGAUGAGUGCUAAGUGUUAGGGGGUUUCCGCCCCUUAGUGCUGCAGCUAACGCAUUAAGCACUCCGCCUGGGGAGUACGGUCGCAAGACUGAAACUCAUAGGAAUUUGACGGGGGCCCGCACAAGCGGUGGAGCAUGUGGUUUAUUUCGAAGCAACGCGAAGAACCUUACCAGGUCUUGACAUCCUCUGACAAUCCUAGAGAUAGGACGUCCCCUUCGGGUGCAGAGUGACAGUGGUGCAUGAUUGUCGUCAGCUCGUGUCGUGAGUAUGUUU
rnacentral:rRNA from 1 species